UGGAAAGGGCUAAGGGCUAGGACGGG
rnacentral:piRNA from 1 species